AAUAUCACUUUUUGUUCAGUAAAUAAGACACACAUAUAUAUAUAUAUAUAUAUAUAUAUAUAUACACAUAUAUAUAUAUACAUAUAUAUAUAUAUAUAUGUGUGUGUCUUAUUUACUGAACAAAAAGUGAUAUA